UCUGGUUGAUCCUGCCAGUAGUCAUAUGCUUGUCUCAAAGAUUAAGCCAUGCAUGUCUAAGUAUAAAUAGUAUACAGUGAAACUGCGAAUGGCUCAUUAAAACAGUUAUAGUUUAUUUGAUAAUUGACAAUUACAUGGAUAACCGUGGUAAUUCUAGAGCUAAUACAUGCUUAAACGCCCGACUUUAUGGAAGGGUGGUAUUUAUUAGACUGAAGCCAAUAUUCCUUGUGUCUAUUGCGGUGAUUCAUCAUAACUGAUCGAAUCUCUUUUUGAGAUAAAUCAUUCAAGUUUCUGCCCUAUCAGCUUUCGAUGGUAGUGUAUUGGACUACCAUGGCAGUAACGGGUAACGAAGAAUUAGGGUUCGAUUUCGGAGAGGGAGCAUGAGAAACGGCUACCACAUCUAAGGAAGGCAGCAGGCGCGUAAAUUACCCAAUCCUGACUCAGGGAGGUAGUGACAAGAAAUAGCAAACCGGGAACCUCAUGGUUUCACGGUAUUGCAAUGAGAACAAUUUAAAACCCUUAGCGAGAAUCAAGUGGAGGACAAGUCUGGUGCCAGCACCCGCGGUAAUUCCAGCUCCACUAGCGUAUAUUAAAGUUGUUGCAGUUAAAAAGCUCGUAGUUGAACCUCUGUCUGGGGCUAGUUUUGGCUUUGGUCAGGCUAGUUCUAGGCAUCCGCCUACAAGACUUAGAGGGCAUUCAGUUGUUCACUAGGAGGAGUAGGCAUUUUACUUUGAAAAAAUUAGAGUGUUUAAGGCAGGCAAUCGCCCGCAUAUAUUAGCAUGGAAUAAUAGAAUAGGACACUUUUCCAUUUCGUUGGUUAUUGGAAUCGUGUAAUGAUUAAUAGGGACAGUUGUGGGCAUUUGUAUUUAAUUGUCAGAGGUGAAAUUCUUGGAUUUAUUAAAGACAAACUAACGCGAAAGCAUUUGCCAAGGAUGUUUUCAUUAAUCAAGAGCGAAAGUUAGGGGAUCAAAGACGAUCAGAUACCGUCCUAGUCUUAACUAUAAACUAUUCCGACUCAAUGUUUGACUGGCUUAUAUAACCAGUUGAGCGUUGUAUGAGAAAUCAAAGUCUUUAGGUUCUGGGGGGAGUAUGGUUGCAAAGCUGAAACUUAAAGGAAUUGACGGAAGAGCACAACCAGGAGUGGAUUCUGCGGCUUAAUUUGACUCAACACGGGGAAACUUACCAGGUUAAAACAAUAGUGGGAUUGACAGUUUGAGAGCGCUUUCUUGAUUGGUUGGGUGGUGGUGCAUGGCCGUUCUUAGUUGGUGGAGUGAUUUGUCUGCUUAAUUGCGUUAACGAACGAGACCUUAACCUGCUUACUAGA
rnacentral:rRNA from 1 species